GAGUAGUAGGAGUUAAGAUCUUGAAACUCAAAAAAUUUGGCGGUAUUUUAUCUUAUUAGAGGAAUCUGCCCAUUAAUUGAUAAUCCACAACUUUAAUUUACUUUUAUUAGAUUAUUUGUAUACCGUUGUCAUGAAUCUACUAAAAAGUUAUUUUCAAGUAUUUUUAUAUAAUUUAUGUUAGAUCAAGGUGCAGUUUUUAAAAGAUUGAGGUGGAUUACAUUUUUUAUAAUGAAUGAAAAUUAUUGUUUAACUAAUAAUAGAAAUAGGAUUUAAUAGUAAAAGAAU
rnacentral:rRNA from 1 species